rnacentral:rRNA from 1 species
AGCGGCGGAUGGGUGAGUAACACGUGGGGAACCUGCCCCUAAGUCUGGGAUACCAUUUGGAAACAGGUGCUAAUACCGGAUAAUAAAGCAGAUCGCAUGAUCAGCUUUUGAAAGGCGGCGUAAGCUGUCGCUAAGGGAUGGCCCCGCGGUGCAUUAGCUAGUUGGUAAGGUAACGGCUUACCAAGGCGACGAUGCAUAGCCGAGUUGAGAGACUGAUCGGCCACAUUGGGACUGAGACGCGGCCCAAACUCCUACGGGAGGCAGCAGUAGGGAAUCUUCCACAAUGGACGCAAGUCUGAUGGAGCAACGCCGCGUGAGUGAAGAAGGUUUUCGGAUCGUAAAGCUCUGUUGUUGGUGAAGAAGGAUAGAGGUAGUAACUGGCCUUUAUUUGACGGUAAUCAACCAGAAAGUCACGGCUAACUACGUGCCAGCAGCCGCGGUAAUACGUAGGUGGCAAGCGUUGUCCGGAUUUAUUGGGCGUAAAGCGAGCGCAGGCGGAAAAAUAAGUCUAAUGUGAAAGCCCUCGGCUUAACCGAGGAACUGCAUCGGAAACUGUUUUUCUUGAGUGCAGAAGAGGAGAGUGGAACUCCAUGUGUAGCGGUGGAAUGCGUAGAUAUAUGGAAGAACACCAGUGGCGAAAGGCGGCUCUCUGGUCUGCAACUGACGCUGAGGCUCGAAAGCAUGGGUAGCGAACAGGAUUAGAUACCCUGGGUAGUCCAUGCCGUAACGAUGAGUGCUAAGUGU